CAACUACUCCCUCUGUCCCAAAUUUCUUGUCUUAGAUUUGUCUAGAUAUGGAUGUAUCUAAUACUAAAAUGUGACUUGAUACAUCCGUAUCUAGACAAAUCUAAGACAAGAAUUUUGGGAUGGAGGUAGUACUUU
rfam:Triticum aestivum genome assembly, contig: Triticum_aestivum_CS42_TGACv1_scaffold_569240_7AS